GCUUGGCUGUGGCGAGAUUCACCUUUGCACUGUGAACACAGCCUGAUGAAUAGAUGAACAAUGCACACAUGACUCUGAGUGGGGAGGAAGGUGCAUGCACGUGACUUUAUUGUGAUGACAAAUUUUGACCAGAAGCGGGUCAGCUCUGUUCACCUUGCACUAAAAGAAAGCCUUCGAGGCCUGGAGAUGGGUGAACCACGCA
rnacentral:lncRNA from 1 species